CCGACGGAUCAACACGUGUGUAAACCGUCCACGAGUGUGCUUUUACAGCUUACGAUAGCAAACAUAUUACGACACUUACUUCGAUAACGGGUUAUUUUACUUAUGGCAGCGCAUUAAAUUAAAACCGGAAAGUUCUUCAGCACUACAACAAUAGAUUGUAACACAUUUUCUAAAGUCAUCAAAAUCCGUCAUACUUCCAAAUCAGUGACACGUAUCAACGCUAUAGAAGCUGAAGAACUUGCAACUAGAAAUAUUCGAAUGGGUUAUUUUACUUAUGGCAGCGCAUUAAAUUAAAACCGGAAAGUUCUUCAGCACUACAACAAUAGAUUGUAACACAUUUUCUAAAGUCAUCAAAAUCCGUCAUACUUCCAAAUCAGUGACACGUAUCAACGCUAUAGAAGCUGAAGAACUUGCAACUAGAAAUAUUCGAAUGGGUUAUUUUACUUAUGGCAGCGCAUUAAAUUAAAACCGGAAAGUUCUUCAGCACUACAACAAUAGAUUGUAACACAUUUUCUAAAGUCAUCAAAAUCCGUCAUACUUCCAAAUCAGUGACACGUAUCAACGCUAUAGAAGCUGAAGAACUUGCAACUAGAAAUAUUCGAAUGGGUUAUUUUACUUAUGGCAGCGCAUUAAAUUAAAACCGGAAAGUUCUUCAGCACUACAACAAUAGAUUGUAACACAUUUUCUAAAGUCAUCAAAAUCCGUCAUACUUCCAAAUCAGUGACACGUAUCAACGCUAUAGAAGCUGAAGAACUUGCAACUAGAAAUAUUCGAAUGGGUACAUAAUAUGUUUUUAACCGGUUAAUAUGUUUUUGGGUACGACAAUAGAUAACCCAAUACCAAGAUACCAGCUGCUAUUAUGUUACAUAUUAUGGUAACAAACAUAACAAUAUAAAACGUCUUCAUCUAUUUCUAUAAAUUAAUAAUUUAUUAUACCAAGUAAUAUUUAAUGGUUAUUGUAAUAACUCGUUUAU